CUUCUAUUUUCCUAUCGUUUCUCAUACAUAGUCAAACCGGUAAAAAUUCUAUCUUUUCUUAUCUGAUUUGAAGCAUAAACCCUCUACCUCCUUUUUCCCAUCCUUUAUAACUUAAAAGCGACAAACUCCCCCCCCCCCAAACAUUGCUACCAAUCAGCUAGGUUAUACUAUAUUGAUGAACUACAUUUAGACCAUUUGUUCAACAUAAGAAACUUAACAUUUCUCUAACUGAAAAGAAAAUUAAACAUUACAUAUAAUAUCUAAUAACUCCAAUGUAAGUGUCAUUAUUUAUUGAUUCAGGCAUUUAGUUAUUUUCUAAUGAAUAUGUUCUUAAGUUGAGUGGCGACUUGUUGGACUUAUGGUGUGGUGCCAAAUCGAGAUCAUGGGAACUUUGUUCUGUUUUUUGAAGUGUAGGCUUUGAAUUGCUCUUCUGUGUUCCUUUCUCUCAAAAGCUGGAACAUGGGAAAAGGCUACUUUAUAUCCAGCCGGCAUUGCACCAAUUGGAAACUAGUACAGUUUCUGAUACCUCCAGUAAUCAAAACUUUGAGAUGAGAAACUGCAGCUGGGUCUUAGAUACUUGUUGAUUGGACAAAGCAGGAGGAAUGAAAAUGGCUAAUUAAGCUUUCUGAAGUCCUGUUGAUCUUACAAGUUUCUUUGUAUAUGCAGCUUUUCCAGUUAGGUACUUGCUUUUCUCAACCUGCUAAUUAUCAAAAAGUACCUUUUUUGGGGGGGUUAAUUCUCACAUCAUCUGAUCCACAUGUAUGUGUAUUUUCUAUUUCAAAUUUUUUAGAUGAGAAACUGUAGCUGGUUAUUAUUAGAUGAUCUGGCCGGCAUUGUCUCUUGGUUAAACAAUGCAAGGUCAGUUCCAAAUUUUCUUUUGUUG